GACGAACGCUGGCGGCGUGCCUAAUACAUGCAAGUAGAACGCUGAAGAGAGGAGCUUGCUCUUCUUGGCUGAGUUGCGAACGGGUGAGUAACGCGUAGGUAACCUGCCUGGUAGCGGGGGAUAACUAUUGGAAACGAUAGCUAAUACCGCAUAAAAUGGAUUAUCGCAUGAUAAUCCAUUGAAAGGUGCAAAUGCAUCACUACCAGAUGGACCUGCGUUGUAUUAGCUAGUUGGUGGGGUAACGGCUCACCAAGGCGACGAUACAUAGCCGACCUGAGAGGGUGAUCGGCCACACUGGGACUGAGACACGGCCCAGACUCCUACGGGAGGCAGCAGUAGGGAAUCUUCGGCAAUGGACGGAAGUCUGACCGAGCAACGCCGCGUGAGUGAAGAAGGUUUUCGGAUCGUAAAGCUCUGUUGUAAGAGAAGAACGAGUGUGAGAGUGGAAAGUUCACACUGUGACGGUAUCUUACCAGAAAGGGACGGCUAACUACGU
rnacentral:rRNA from 1 species